GAUGAACGCUGGCGGCGCGCCUAACACAUGCAAGUCGAACGGCACCCCUCCUCGGAGGGAAGCGAGUGGCGAACGGCUGAGUAACACGUGGAGAACCUGCCCCCUCCCCCGGGAUAGCCGCCCGAAAGGACGGGUAAUACCGGAUACCCCCGGGUGCCGCCUGGCACCCCGGCUAAAGCCCCGACGGGGGGGGAUGGCUCCGCGGCCCAUCAGGUAGACGGCGGGGUGACGGCCCACCGUGCCGACAACGGGUAGCCGGGUUGAGAGACCGACCGGCCAGAUUGGGACUGAGACACGGCCCAGACUCCUACGGGAGGCAGCAGUGGGGAAUCUUGCGCAAUGGGGGGAACCCUGACGCAGCGACGCCGCGUGCGGGACGGAGGCCUUCGGGUCGUAAACCGCUUUCAGCAGGGAAGAGUCAAGACUGUACCUGCAGAAGAAGCCCCGGCUAACUACGUG
rnacentral:rRNA from 1 species